rnacentral:rRNA from 1 species
CAAUAGCGUAUAUUAAAGUUGUUGCAGUUAAAAAGCUCGUAGUUGGAUUUGUGGCGUACGGUGUGUUCCGGGCACUUGUUGUCUGAGUAACCUGCUGUUGCCAUCCUUGGGUGGAACCUGUGUGGCAUUAGGUUGUCGUGCAGGGGAUGCCCAUCAUUUACUGUGAAAAAAUUAGAGUGUUCAAAGCAGGCUUAUGCCGUUGAAUAUAUUAGCAUGGAAUAAUGAGAUAGGACUUUUUUGCUAUUUUGUUGGUUUGCGCAAAGAGGUAAUGAUUAAUAGGGACAGUUGGGGAUAUUCGUAUUCCAUUGUCAGAGGUGAAAUUUUUGGAUUUUUGGAAGACGAACUACUGCGAAAGCAUUUACCAAGGAUGUUUUCAUUAA